rnacentral:rRNA from 1 species
CUUGCUGGGUGGAUUAGUGGCGAACGGGUGAGUAACACGUGAGUAACCUGCCCUUAACUCUGGGAUAAGCCUGGGAAACUGGGUCUAAUACCGGAUAGGAGCGYCYACCGCAUGGUGGGUGUUGGAAAGAUUUAUCGGUUUUGGAUGGACUCGCGGCCUAUCAGCUUGUUGGUGAGGUAAUGGCUCACCAAGGCGACGACGGGUAGCCGGCCUGAGAGGGUGACCGGCCACACUGGGACUGAGACACGGCCCAGACUCCUACGGGAGGCAGCAGUGGGGAAUAUUGCACAAUGGGCGCAAGCCUGAUGCAGCGACGCCGCGUGAGGGAUGACGGCCUUCGGGUUGUAAACCUCUUUCAGUAGGGAAGAAGCGAAAGUGACGGUACCUGCAGAAGAAGCACCGGCUAACUACGUGCCAGCAGCCGCGGUAAUACGUAGGGUGCGAGCGUUAUCCGGAAUUAUUGGGCGUAAAGAGCUCGUAGGCGGUUUGUCGCGUCUGUCGUGAAAGUCCGGGGCUUAACCCCGGAUCUGCGGUGGGUACGGGCAGACUAGAGUGCAGUAGGGGAGACUGGAAUUCCUGGUGUAGCGGUGGAAUGCGCAGAUAUCAGGAGGAACACCGAUGGCGAAGGCAGGUCUCUGGGCUGUAACUGACGCUGAGGAGCGAAAGCAUGGGGAGCGAACAGGAUUAGAUACCCUGGUAGUCCAUGCCGUAAACGUUGGGCACUAGGUGUGGGGACCAUUCCACGGUUUCCGCGCCGCAGCUAACGCAUUAAGUGCCCCGCCUGGGGAGUACGGCCGCAAGGCUAAAACUCAAAGGAAUUGACGGGGGCCC